AUCACUUCUCGGCCUUUUGGCUAAGAUCAAGUGUAGUAUCAUAUUAGGCAAUCACAACAGACUGGUAGAUAAAUGGUUCUCAGAUGAGUCAGGAUUACCUGGAGGACUUAUUAGAACAAUAGGGGCCUGGUGCACAAAUUCAUGUGCACCAAGUCUCCAGGUGAUGGCAAUGCCGGCUGGUCUGGAGAGCUCACU
rnacentral:snRNA from 1 species